rnacentral:lncRNA from 1 species
CGUUGCCUUGGCUACACCGUCUGUUAGGGCCGCGCACGAGAUCAGUAACUGAGACCUCACCGCGUUGACCCAGCACCAGGGCUCGCGGGGGUCCCGCGAGGGUCUCGGUAGCCGCGCGCCCAGAGACCCCCGCCGCGGCCCGAUUCUCUGAGCGCCAGACAUGAACCGCAAGAAACUGCAGAAGCUGACGGACACCUUAACCAAAAAUUGCAAGCAUUUAUUCCGAGGUUUUGAUAAAGAUAAUGAUGGCUGUGUAAAUGUAUUGGAGUGGAUUCAUGGAUUAUCACUGUUUCUUCGAGGAUCUUUGGAAGAAAAAAUGAAAUGAGGAAAUGUUUCACAUGUUGAAGAACAGCCUUCUCAAACAGCCAUCUGAGGAAGACCCUGAUGAAGGAAUUAAAGAUUUGGUUGAAAUAACACUGAAGAAAAUGGAUCAUGACCAUGAUGGGAAGCUGUCUUUUGCAGACUAUGAACUGGCUGUGAGAGAAGAGACUCUUCUACUGGAGGCCUUUGGGCCAUGUCUUCCUGAUCCAAAGAGCCAGAUGGAAUUUGAAGCUCAAGUAUUCAAAGAUCCAAAUGAAUUCAAUGAUAUGUGAAUAACUAAAUGUCUAUAUUGUCUCAAGGUGAAGAUGAGGUUCACUUACAUAUAUCAUUUAACAUCAGUGUAAGAUGCAAUUAAAAUAGAUGGAAGACAAGAAGUCCCUUAUUAGAUGAUGGGUUUGGCAAGACAGUUAACUUUUCUACAGAUGUUUUAUCACAUAGACUAUCUGUCGAAGCACAUAACUGGCAUAAAACCUUUGGGUUCAUUAAAUGAAUAGAGAGAUUACAUAAUUAUGAAUUGUUAAUACAAAUAUUCUGCAUGUCAAAAAGAAGCUGGGUGUACACUGAAAAAUCAUUGAAACUACUGGAUUUCCUUUGAAACAAAUAAUGAAGAUGGCAUCAAAAGAAUAAGAGUAUUCUAUUGAGCAUUGAAACGCCUUUCUGGUAGGCAUUGAGGGAGAUCUAGAGAGAUGAAAGAUACAUGGAAAUCAUAUUAUAUUGAAAUAUAAUAUGAUUUGCAUUAUUGUUUGAGGCUUUGGCUAAAUAACGUUACUGAUUGUAAGCACCUGAAGGCAAGGGUUUUAUCCACCACAUCUUUGUCUGCCAUAGCAUUUAGUCCUCUGCAUACAAUGGGCUGUCCAUAAUUACUGUAGAUUGGACUGAAAAUCAAAAAGUACCACAAGAUAAAUGCAAACUCUUGGUGAGCAGAGGGAGAACAUGUACUGAGUUUCUUAGGUUUCAUGGCUAAUGCAUUGGCACAGCUUUCAGUGUAUCCCUGCAGUCCUUCCAGAUAGUCCCUGCCCCAUGCAUUGCAGAUGGUUGCCAAAGCCCCCCUCUGUCCUGGCACCCAGUGUUCCUCCAUCCUGACUCCACGUAUUGCCCCCUUGCCACUGCCUGAGUGCACCAUAGUGUCCCCAUCCCCCCACUGCCUGGAGUUCCCCUUGUGUACCCCCUUAUCAGGGCACGACCUAACUGUGCCCUGCUGGCUGUGACCUCCUGAAGACAGACCUGGCUUCUCCCUGCAUCCAGUUCCCCAGUAUGUGCUGUGGGCAUCCUGAGAAGCCUGAAAAAGACAGGGCCAGGUUAGGCUUGGGUGAGCUGCUUUCUGCCUUCUUGGUACACACAGUAAGCAGUGGAGAGGCGUGUUACACCGUAUCUGUUCUAUCCUCAUCUAAAUACUGAGAGGCUAGUUGGGAUAGUAAAUCUUUCUUACUACAUAUGCAUUAAGUUUAAGUAAAAUAGAAUAUUGUGUGAAAAAAUGCACUGUUACUAAUAAAUGGAAUAAACAGAUCCAUGAAAUAAAAGAAAACAUAUUUUACUGUC